rnacentral:rRNA from 1 species
CCUACGGGAGGCAGCAGUGAGGAAUAUUGGUCAAUGGACGAGAGUCUGAACCAGCCAAGUAGCGUGAAGGAUGACUGCCAUAUGGGUUGUAAACUUCUUUUAUAUGGGAAUAAAAUGUUCCACGUGUGGGAUUUUGUAUGUACCAUAUGAAUAAGGAUCGGCUAACUCCGUGCCAGCAGCCGCGGUAAUACGGAGGAUCCGAGCGUUAUCCGGUUUUAUUGGGUUUAAAGGGAGCGUAGGUGGAUUGUUAAGUCAGUUGUGAAAGUUUGCGGCUCAACCGUAAAAUUGCAGUUGAAACUGGCAGUCUUGAGUACAGUAGAGGUGGGCGGAAUUCGUGGUGUAGCGGUGAAAUGCUUAGAUAUCACGAAGAACUCCGAUUGCGAAGGCAGUUCACUGGACUGCAACUGACACUGAGGCUCGAAAGUGUGGGUAUCAAACAGGAUUAGAUACCCCAGUAGUC